rnacentral:lncRNA from 1 species
AUGGACCUGGACAGUGGAGAUGUUAAGAGAAGAGUGCAUUUAUUUGAAACUCAAAGAAGGACAAAAGAAGAAGACCCAAUAAUUCCAUUUAGCGAUGGACCUAUCAUCUCAAAAUGGGGUGCAAUUUCCCGAUCUUCUCGUACAGGCUACCACACUACGGAUCCUGUCCAGGCCACUGCUUCCCAAGGAAGUGCGACUAAGCCCAUCAGUGUAUCAGAUUAUGUCCCUUAUGUCAAUGCUGUUGAUUCAAGGUGGAGUUCAUAUGGCAACGAGGCCACAUCAUCAGCACACUAUAUUGAAAGGGACAGAUUCAUUGUUACUGAUCUAUCUGGUCAUAGAAAGCAUUCCAGUACUGGAGACCUUUUAAGCAUUGAACUUCAGCAGGCCAAGAGUAACUCAUUACUUCUACAGAGGGAAGCAAAUGCUCUAGCCAUGCAACAGAAGUGGAAUUCCCUGGAUGAAGGCCGUCACCUUACCUUAAAUCUUCUAAGUAAGGAAAUUGAACUGAGAAAUGGAGAGAGUGAUUAUACAGAAGAUGCAGCAGAUACUAAGCCUGAUAGAGAUAUCGAGUUAGAGCUUUCAGCACUUGAUACUGAUGAACCUGAUGGACAAAGCGAACAAAUUGAAGUAAGUCCCACAAUUAGAUAAGUAGGAGGCUUUGUUCCAUUGAAAAGUAAAUGGUAUAAAAUACUUUCAUACUCAAAGAUGAACGUUGUAUUCUUUUAGGAGAUCUUGGACAUACAACUUGGUAUUAGUGCUCAAAACGACCAGUUGCUGAAUGGAACCACAGUGGAAAAUGGGCAUCCAGUUCAACAACAUCAGAAAGAGCCAGUAAAACAAAAGAGACAGAGUUUAGGUGAAGACCAUGUGAUUCUGUGAGUGUUAGACAGAAAAUUCAUAACCAGUGGGAAUAGGGCAUGAAUAUUUAAGUAUUAGAUUCAUUUUUUACUUUAUUCUGUGAGACGAAAAGCCUUUUGUACUAGGGCAGUGAUUUAGCCAGUAAAAAUCCCCAGGGCUUUUUGCAUGCUAAGCAAGCACUCUACCUUUAAGCUACAUCCCAUCUCUUUUUUAAAUUUUAUUUUGGGACAGGAUCUUGCUGAGUUGCCCAGAUUUAGCUUGAAUUUAUGAUCCUCAGCCUCUCAGGUAGAUGAGAUUAGAAGCAUGUACCACCAUGCCUGGUUUACAAAGUAGUACAUUUUAAUAACCCAAAACUUGCUUUUGAUUGGGAUAAAAGUUAGUAUGUACUUUAUUUUAGGUUAUUUAUUUUAUUUAUUUAUUUAAUUAUUUUUUUUGCUGUGUAGUGCAGGAUGGGCUUGAACUCACUAUUUUGCUCUGGCUGGCCUCAAACUUGCAGCAAUCCUCCUGCCUCAGCUUCCUGAGUGCUGGGAUUACAGGUGUGAGUCACCAGACCCGGG